rnacentral:rRNA from 1 species
GGAGGAAAGCAGGGGAUCGCAAGACCUUGCGCUUUUGGAGCGGCCGAUGUCUGAUUAGCUAGUUGGUGGGGUAAUGGCCUACCAAAGCUUCGAUCAGUAGCUGGUCUGAGAGGACGGCCAGCCACACUGGGACUGAGACACGGCCCAGACUCCUACGGGAGGCAGCAGUGGGGAAUUUUGGACAAUGGGCGCAAGCCUGAUCCAGCAAUGCCGCGUGAAUGAAGAAGGCCUUCGGGUUGUAAAGCUCUUUCAGCCGGGAAGAAAAGGUUGCGAUUAAUAAUCGCAAUUUAUGACGGUACCGGAAGAAGAAGCACCGGCUAACUACGUGCCAGCAGCCGCGGUAAUACGUAGGGUGCGAGCGUUAAUCGGAAUUACUGGGCGUAAAGGGUGCGCAGGCGGCUUUGUAAGUCAGAUGUGAAAUCCCCGGGCUUAACCUGGGAACUGCGUUUGAAACUACAAGGCUAG